rnacentral:rRNA from 1 species
AGAGUGAACGCUGGCGGCAGGCCUAACACAUGCAAGUCGAACGGCAGCACAGGGGAGCUUGCUCCCUGGGUGGCGAGUGGCGGACGGGUGAGGAAUGCGUCGGAAUCUGCCUUUUCGUGGGGGAUAACGUAGGGAAACUUACGCUAAUACCGCAUGCGACCCUGGUUCGGGAGGAUCAGGGUGAAAGCGGGGGACCUUCGGGCCUCGCGCGGAAAGAUGAGCCGACGCCGGAUUAGCUAGUUGGCGGGGUAACGGCCCACCAAGGCGACGAUCCGUAGCUGGUCUGAGAGGAUGAUCAGCCACACUGGAACUGAGACACGGUCCAGACUCCUACGGGAGCAGCA